ACACGACCGUACCGCAAACCGACACUGGUGCGCGAGAUGAGUAUUCUAAGGCGCUUGAGAGAACUCAGGAGAAGGAACUCGGCAAAUUGACACCGUAACUUCGGAAGAAGGUGUGCCUUUAGUAGGUGAACCAUUUACUUGGGGAGCCCAAUGAGGCUGCAAAAAAUCGGUGGCUGCAACUGUUUAUUAAAAACACAGCACUCUGCUAAGACGAAAGUCGACGUAUAGGGUGUGACGCCUGCCCGGUGCUGGAAGAUUAAAUGAUGGGGUGCAAGCUCUUGAUUGAAGUCCCAGUAAACGGCGGCCGUAACUAUAACGGUCCUAAGGUAGCGAAAUUCCUUGUCGGGUAAGUUCCGACCUGCACGAAUGGCGUAAUGAUGGCCACACUGUCUCCUCCUGAGACUCAGCGAAGUUGAAAUGUUUGUGAUGAUGCAAUCUCCCCGCGGAAAGACGGAAAGACCCCAUGAACCUUUACUGUAGCUUUGUAUUGGACUUUGAACAGAUCUGUGUAGGAUAGGUGGGAGGCUUUGAAGUGUGGUCGCUAGAUCGCAUGGAGCCAACGUUGAAAUACCACCCUGGUGUGUUUGAGGUUCUAACCUAGGUCCAUUAUCUGGAUCGGGGACAGUGCAUGGUAGGCAGUUUGACUGGGGCGGUCUCCUCCCAAAGUGUAACGGAGGAGUUCGAAGGUACGCUAGGUACGGUCGGACAUCGUGCUAAUAGUGCAAUGGCAUAAGCGUGCUUAACUGCGAGACUGACAAGUCGAGCAGAUGCGAAAGCAGGACAUAGUGAUCCGGUGGUUCUGUAUGGAAGGGCCAUCGCUCAACGGAUAAAAGGUACUCUGGGGAUAACAGGCUGAUACCGCCCAAGAGUUCAUAUCGACGGCGGUGUUUGGCACCUCGAUGUCGGCUCAUCUCAUCCUGGGGCUGUAGCCGGUCCCAAGGGUAUGGCUGUUCGCCAUUUAAAGAGGUACGUGAGCUGGGUUUAAAACGUCGUGAGACAGUUUGGUCCCUAUCUUCCGUGGGCGCUGCAGAUUUGAGGAAGCCUGCUCCUAGUACGAGAGGACCGGAGUGGACGAACCUCUGGUGUAUCGGUUGUCACGCCAGUGGCAUUGCCGAGUAGCUAAGUUCGGAAGAGAUAACCGCUGAAAGCAUCUAAGCGGGAAACUCGUUUCAAGAUUAGAUCUGCCGGGGCCUUGAGCCCCCUAAAGAGUCGUUCAAGACCAGGACGUUGAUAGGUCAGGUGUGGAAGCCA
rnacentral:rRNA from 1 species